GACGAACGCUGGCGGCGUGCCUAAUACAUGCAAGUAGAACGCUGAAGGAGGAGCUUGCUUCUCUGGAUGAGUUGCGAACGGGUGAGUAACGCGUAGGUAACCUGCCUGGUAGCGGGGGAUAACUAUUGGAAACGAUAGCUAAUACCGCAUAAGAGUAGAUGUUGCAUGACAUUUGCUUAAAAGGUGCAAUUGCAUCACUACCAGAUGGACCUGCGUUGUAUUAGCUAGUUGGUGGGGUAACGGCUUACCAAGGCGACGAUACAUAGCCGACCUGAGAGGGUGAUCGGCCACACUGCGCCUGAGACACGGCCCAGACUGCUCCAGGAGGAAGCAGUAGGGAAUCUUCGGCAAUGGACGGAAGUCUGACCGAGCAGCGCCGCGUGAGUGAGGAGGGUUUUCGGAUCGUAGAGCUCUGUUGUAAGAGAAGAACGAGUGUGAGAGUGGAAAGUUCACACUGUGACGGUAUCUUGCCAGAAAGGGACGGCUAACUACGUG
rnacentral:rRNA from 1 species